rnacentral:rRNA from 1 species
UAGGGAAUAUUGGACAAUGGGUGCAAGCCUGAUCCAGCCAUGCCGCGUGCAGGAAGAAGGCCUUCUGGGUUGUAAACUGCUUUUGCCAGGGGAUAAAAUAUCCUUGCGAGGAGAAUUGAAGGUACCUGGUGAAUAAGCCACGGCUAACUACGUGCC